CCCAGACUCCUACGGGAGGCAGCAGUGGGGAAUCUUCCGCAAUGGGCGAAAGCCUGACGGAGUAACGCCGCGUGAUCGAAUGAAGGCCUUCGGGUUGUAAAGAUCUGUUGACAGGGACGAAUAAGCAAUGCGAAUAGUUUUGUGUAUGACGGUACCUGUUUAGAAAGCUCCGGCUAACUACGUGCCAGCAGCCGCGGUAAUACGGAGGAUGCGAGCGUUAUCCGGAUUUAUUGGGUUUAAAGGGUGCGUAGGCGGACUGCAAAGUCGGCGGUAAAAUUGCGGGGCUCAACCCCGUCGAGCCGUUGAAACUGGCGGUCUUGAGUGGGCGAGAAGUAUGCGGAAUGCGUGGUGUAGCGGUGAAAUGCAUAGAUAUCACGCAGAACUCCGAUUGCGAAGGCAGCAUACCGGCGCCCGACUGACGCUGAAGCACGAAAGCGUGGGUAUCGAACAGGAUUAGAUACCCUCGUA
rnacentral:rRNA from 1 species